CAAACUGACUAGUACCGAGUUCGCUGUUAUAUUAUCAAAUCGUAAAGUUAUAUUCAAUCAAAAUGAAAACACUGAUUUUAUUAUUCAUCGUUGCCACAACAUGCCUGAGUUUUUCUCAUGGACUCGGAGGAUCUGAAUCUAAAGUUAUUCCAAAUUCCAUAAAUCAAAUGUCUAUUGAUUUUUUCAAGGUUGCUCUUGAUAAUCAGGCAGAUAAUUUUGUCUGUUCACCAUUCAGUGUUGCACAUGUAUUGGCAAUAAGUGCAUUUGGUUCACAAGGAAACACCAGAGAUGA